rnacentral:lncRNA from 1 species
GCCAACCCUGUCCUGGAGUUUCCCUUUCCGUCCCUCGCUGGGUGGGGAUGGGGGAAACUGACAGCAAGGACAAGGCCUCUGUCCCCAACUCUUCACCCUUCACCCUGGGAUUCAGAGUGUGAGGCAGGGAUGUCCCAUUUCAGAAGCCCAAGAUGGCCACUCUACCUCCCAGCACUGGGUCUGCAUUUCAGCCAGCAGGAAGGAGAAAAGGGAGAGAAGGGCACACACUGUCUCUUUAAGAUACUUGCCUGAAGUUGAAGAUCAUUUCUGCUUAUCUAUCAUGGGCCACAACUUAGUUGCAUGGCCACAUCGAGCUGCAAGGGAGCUGGGAAACUGGGGCCUUUAUUCUGACCAGCUGUGCAACUAGAUAAACAGCAGCGUUCUUUUACUUAGAAGAAGGGGAGGACAGAUACUGGAUCACUUCUAGCAGGUCCUACCCUGGGCCUGACUUCAUCCUGAACUCUACGGACUUUGAGCUCAAUAAACUAUAUUGCUCAGAAAACGUUUAUUCCUCAACUCCAGGGAGAACCCUUUCAAUUCACUGCACAUAAGAACGCCAGGCUGCUCUCCUGAACCUAGCUCCCAGGAAGCAGCAUUUACGUCUUUUUGUCUCUGGACCCGGCACGUAGAAAACCUUGAAAAAUGCUUGUUAAAUUGAAGUUUCCAAUCUGCAUAUUUUGGAUCCUGUUGCAUUAACCGGAUGGAACUCAUCGUGCAACUCAUCAUGGGAUGUUAGCAGCCUCAGGAAUCGGAAAGCAACUCAGGAUGUCUUAACUCUCUGAGGAAGGGAUGGGUUUUUGGAACGCCACGGCACAUCCUCCCACGCAGAGUAUCUCCUGGCGAGCUUCCCAGAGCCCAGGGUGUACCACAGCACAGGAUGUGCGCGCAGGUGGCCCGCCUCGAGGUACACCAUCGCGGCCGGCCACACUCAGGUGCCCUGGGGAGGCCGUCUACUUUAAUCUCACUGGGAGCUGGGUAAUGCUCGACAAGUCACGCCACCUCUCUGACCUGUUUUCUCAUUUGUCAGGACCCGGAGACUGAAUUAGCCUAUCACUUUGUGUCCCCAGUGGAAUUGGAAACAAUGCUGUGAAUCCUUUUACAAUCCCCUCAAUUAGAGGGCAUUUUCUCUGUUUCCCAUAGGAAAUCAUCCCAGAAUUUUAAGAUCGGAAGAGAGUGAAGUGAUUAUCUCCCUCUUUCAGGGGUUCUUAACUUCGGGUCCCUGCAGGGUCACAGGUGAAGUCUCUGGAAUUGUACAUAGAAUUCUGUGAGGUCAGCCAAGCAGACCCAGCAGGAGAUGAGGAGAUGGGGUGUGACCACAGGCUUGGAGGAUGCAGGGUCCUUCUGGAGGUGACAAGCAAGGAGGAGG